UACGUAGGUGACAAGCGUUGUCCGGAUUUACUGGGCGUAAAGAGCGCGCAGGCGGUCGUUCAAGUCGAGUGUGAAAGCCCCCGGCUCAACUGGGGAGGGUCACUCGAUACUGAUCGACUCGAAGGCAGGAGAGGGAAGUGGAAUUCCCGGUGUAGUGGUGAAAUGCGUAGAUAUCGGGAGGAACACCAGUGGCGAAGGCGACUUCCUGGCCUGUUCUUGACGCUGAGGCGCGAAAGCUAGGGGAGCAAAC
rnacentral:rRNA from 1 species